rnacentral:lncRNA from 1 species
GCUGCAGCCCGUUUCCGGCUGGUCCCUGAGGAAAUAGAACUGCUGUCCCAUGGAACCUGUUGACAUUGGCUGAGAAUUGAAGCUCAGUGAGGAACACAGAAUCUUCAAAAAUCCUCAAAAGACAGAAUCAGAAAGAGUUGAAGAAAAGCAUUUUAAGAUUCCUCUAUUCUAUGUUUGUGUUUACAGAUGAAAAAUCACAAUGACCCUAAAUGUGGAGCCAGAGAAUUUAUGAUCAUUUAGUGCCACCACACAACCUUGGACAAAUCCCAAUAUCUGUGUUAAUUUUUUUCCAAAGAGUUGCAGCCUCUGGCUCUUUGUUCUCUCCUGCUUAGAAAAACCAUAUGACUGGAUUGAAUAUUUGUGAAAUAACAGCACUCCUGGUCAUCAGAAUUGAUUUUUCCAGUGCAAGAAUGAGAAGAAAUGAUCGACGCAUCCCACAAAAUUUUGCUUCUGUUCACAAACUGCAUCGAAUGAAGAAAACGAAUAUGAAUCCCCUGAAUCAUGAUUCAAAUUAUGUUUGGGAGCCAAGGGCUGUUUUGGUGUCCUUAAUAUUUAUUAGGAACAUCUGCAAUACACACUCAGGGAUGCAACCAGGCCUUGAAGGCAGGUGAGGCAGAGCCAGAGCCGAGCUGCAGCCUCCUGUGGUGAAAAGAAGCAAGGGUCAGAAGUCCAAUAGCUGAGCAUACUGGACUUUUCCAAGAAAGUAAAUAUCACCUUCAGAAACGGCCCAUCAACUCUGAUGACAGGUUUUUUA